UUGUGCACUCCCUUUAUCCAUGUACACAUCGACGUAUUUUCACUUAAAAAGUCAAAGAAAAUUGACAAAAAUGCAAUUCUUCUUACUCUUGUAAAAAGUGCCAAACAAAUAAGUGAGCGAUUCUGCAGUUUACCAAAAUAUUCAUGCAUGUAUUCACACAGAGCAGAAACCUCAUAUGUGUGAAGUAUGUAAGGAGAUGGUUAUUCAAGUGUGUAGUUAAACAAGCAUAUGCUUAUUCACACUGGAGAGUGUGUGGUAUGUAAAUUCAUUCAUUUUCAUAAAAGGGGUUUUAAAUAUGGAUAACAACAUAAGAGACAAAUGUUAUGAGUUACGUAUGUAAGUCAUUUAUGGUGAUGCAGAAGUUGAAAAAACUUAUCUUACUACAUAGAAAAAAAACCUCCUCCGUUUUUAAUAUGUAUUUCAAACAACUUUUACUUACCUUUGCAGUAAGCAAUGUUUUUGCAACUAGAAAAGAUCAUUAUUUUGGUCAAGUCUGUAUUUUUCUCUUGCGUUAACAGAAUUCUUGGAAUUUAGAGGCAAGUCUGAAUAGCAUAAAGCUUACUGAUGACCCUGUGUGAGAAACAUAACUUCUCAAUUGAUGAAAAUAAAUUAUACACCAUUUGUUUCCACAAUAUGAAAUAUUUUUCAAGAUAUUUUUACAUGAUAAUAAAUGUUCAGUGUUUAUAUCUUGUGUGUAAUGAAAUGCGGGUAAGAACUUCAAAACCUAAAAUUCUAUAAAGCAGCUAAAUGUUUCAUCUAAUAUCUGUGCAGUAAAUUGUACGUGUUUUAUGUUAACUGUGUCUGAAUUUCAUACUUUUAUGAAUUACAGCUGUGUCAAUACAUAUAGUAAUGCCAUUCUUGGUGUCUGUCAUGAAAAAUGUAUUAGGUAUUUCCACUCGUCGUGAACAAGUACUGAAAACCAUGCCUAUCCUCCUUCAAGAUCAAAUGUGUGAGUGUAUAACAUUUCUAAAAUCAGUGCAGUGUUCUUCAGCAAUGUUAGAAAGGUGAAAUGAAAUUUCAGACAUUUUCAGUCAAAUAGAGCAAUCCCACAUAUAUAAUUCAUAUAAGAAAAAAUUUGGCAAACAUCGUUUCACUGCAGGUUGAACUGCCCUUCAUUGAAAGGUUUUGUUCGAUGUGUGGCCUGUAAUGACAAUACCUGGGUCUUUUCUUGUCAACAGAAAUUUGUUACCCCAAAAUCCAGAAAGCUGAUUAGGUGUGCAG